CCUACGGGUGGCAGCAGUGGGGAAUAUUGGACAAUGGGGGGAACCCUGAUCCAGCGACGCCGCGUGAGUGAAGAAGUCUUUCUGUAUGUAAAGCUCUAUCAGCAGGGAAGCAAGACAUGACGGUACCUGACUAAUAAGCCCCGGCUAACUACGUGCCCGCAGCCGCGGUAAUACGGAGGGGGCAAGCGUUCUCCGGAUUUACUGGGUGUACAGGGAGCGUAGACGGCGAUGCAAGUCUGAAGUGAAAGGCGGGGGCCCAACCCCCGGACUGCUUUGGAAACUGUAUGGCUGGAGUGCAGGAGAGGUAAGUGGAAUGCCUAGUGUAGCGGUGAAAUGCGUAGAUAUUAGGAGGAACACCAGUGGCGAAGGCGGCUUACUGGACUGUAACUGACGUUGAGGCUCGAAAGCGUGGGGAGCAAACAGGAUUAGAUACCCUGGUAGUC
rnacentral:rRNA from 1 species